AUUGAACGCUGGCGGCAGGCCUAACACAUGCAAGUAGAACGAGUGGCGGACGGGUGAGUAAUGUCUGGGAACCUGCCUGAUGGAGGGGGAUAACUACUGGAAACGGUAGCUAAUACCGCAUACCAUCAGAUGUGCCCAGAUUGGAUUAGCUAGUUGGUGGGGUAACGGCUCACCAAGGCGACGAUCCCUAGCUGGUCUGAGAGGAUGACCAGCCACAUGGGAACUGAGACACGGUCCAGACUCCUACGGGAGGCAGCCGUGGGGAAUAUUGCACAAUGGGCGCAAGCCUGAUGCAGCCAUGCCGCGUGUAUGAAGAAGGCCUUCGGGUUGUAAAGUACUUUCAGUGGGGAGGCGUUACCCGCAGAAGAAGCACCGGCUAACUCCGUGCCAGCCGCCGCGGUAAUAC
rnacentral:rRNA from 1 species